UACGAAGGGGGCUAGCGUUGCUCGGAAUCACUGGGCGUAAAGGGUGCGUAGGCGGUCGGGUAAGUCUGUCGUGAAAUCUCCGAGCCCAACUCGGAAACUGCGUCGGAUACUAUUCGGCUAGAGGAAUGGAGGGGAGACUGGAAUUCUCGGUGUAGCAGUGAAAUGCGUAGAUAUCAAGUGGAACACCAGUGGCGAAGGCGAGUCCCUGGACAACUCCUGACACUGAGGCACGAAAGCUAGGGGAGCAAACAGG
rnacentral:rRNA from 1 species